GAUGAACGCUGGCGGCGUGCCUAAUUCAUGCAAGUCGAGCGAAUGGAUUAAGAGCUUGCUCUUAUGAAGUUAGCGGCGGACGGGUGAGUAACACGUGGGUAACCUGCCCAUAAGACUGGGAUAACUCCGGGAAAACGGGGCUAAUACCGGAUAACAAUUUGAACAGCAUGGUUCGAAAUUGAAAGGCGGCUUAGGCUGUCACUUAUGGAUGGACCCGCGUCGCAUUAGCUAGUUGGUUAGGUAACGGCUCACCAAGGCAACGAUGCGUAGCCGACCUGAGAGGGUGAUCGGCCACACUGGGACUGAGACACGGCCCAGACUCCUACGGGAGGCAGCAGUAGGGAAUCUUCCGCAAUGGACGAAAGUCUGACGGAGCAACGCCGCGUGAGUGAUGAAGGCUUUCGGGUCGUAAAACUCUGUUGUUAGGGAAGAACAAGUGCUAGUUGAAUAAGCUGGCACCUUGACGGUACCUAACCAGAAAGCCACGGCUAACUACGUGCCAGCAGCCGCGGUAA
rnacentral:rRNA from 1 species